UACGUAGGGUGCGAGCGUUGUCCGGAAUUACUGGGCGUAAAGAGCUCGUAGGUGGUUUGUCGCGUUGUUCGUGAAAACUCACAACUCAAUUGUGGGCGUGCGGGCGAUACGGGCAGACUGGAGUACUGCAGGGGAGACUGGAAUUCCUGGUGCAGCGGUGGAAUGCGCAGAUAUCAGGAGGAACACCGGUGGCGAAGGCGGGUCUCUGGGCAGUAACUGACGCUGAGGAGCGAAAGCGUGGGGAGCGAACAGG
rnacentral:rRNA from 1 species